UAACUGCGAUAACUAAUGUGAACUGCAGAUAUUUUGAACAUUGAGACUUCGAAUGCACAUUGCGCCAUUGGAGUCACAUCCUCUGGCACAUCUGGCUCAGGGUCGUCAACCCAAAACGAACGCCAAUUCGUUCUCCCUCCGGGAGUCGGGUCACUCCACUUCGCUCCGUGUUGAUUCACGCUGAUGGAGAAAGGAGUGUCCCGGCAAGUGUUGACUGAACAGCGAUUGCACUGUUUUGCUUAGCGAUAGUCGGUAGUCCCCGCUUAUGGACCGACCGCCGAUCGCAGCAGUGCUAUGCGCGCGUUCGACCAGCGACCUGAGCUCAGGUGUGAGUACCUGCUGAACUUAA
rnacentral:misc_RNA from 1 species